GACGAACGCUGGCGGCAGGCCUAACACAUGCAAGUCGAGCGAGCGGCGGAAGGGUGAGUAAUGUAUGGGGACUGCCCGAUAGAGGGGGAUAACUACUGGAAACGGUGGCUAAUACCGCAUACUAUCGGAUAACCCAUAUGGGAUUAGAUAGUAGUUGGGGUAAAGGCUCACCUAGGCGACGAUCUCUAGCUGGUCUGAGAGGAUGAUAAGCCACACUGAGACUGAGACACGGCCCAGACUCCUGCGGAGGCAGCAGUGGGGAAUAUUGCCCAAUGGGCGCAAGCCUGAUGCAGCCAUGCCGCGUGUAUGAAGAAAGCCUUAGGGUUGUAAAGUACUUUCAUCGAGGAGUCGUUACCCGCAGAAGAAGCCCCGGCUAACUCCGUGCCAGCCACCGCGGUAAUUC
rnacentral:rRNA from 1 species